rnacentral:rRNA from 1 species
UACAGAGGGGGCAAGCGUUAUUCGGAAUUAUUGGGCGUAGAGGGCGCGUAGGCGGCAUGGCAAGUGGAAGGUGAAAUCCCUCGGCUCAACCGAGGAACGUCGAUCGAUACUGCUGUUCUUGAGGAUUGCAGAGGAGACUGGAAUUCCCGGUGUAGCGGUGAAAUGUGUAGAGAUCGGGAGGAACACCGGUGGCGAAGGCGGGUCUCUGGGCAAUUCCUGACGCUGAGGCGCGAAAGCGUGGGGAGCAAACGGG